rnacentral:rRNA from 1 species
UACGUAGGGUGCGAGCGUUGUCCGGAAUUAUUGGGCGUAAAGAGCUUGUAGGCGGUUUGUCGCGUCUGCUGUGAAAGCCCGGGGCUUAACCCCGGGUCUGCAGUGGGUACGGGCAGACUAGAGUAUGGUAGGGGAGACUGGAAUUCCUGGUGUAGCGGUGGAAUGCGCAGAUAUCAGGAGGAACACCGAUGGCGAAGGCAGGUCUCUGGGCCAUAACUGACGCUGAGAAGCGAAAGCAUGGGUAGCGAACAGG